rnacentral:rRNA from 1 species
CCUACGGGAGGCAGCAGUGAGGAAUAUUGGUCAAUGGACGCGAGUCUGAACCAGCCAAGUAGCGUGAAGGAUGACUGCCCUAUGGGUUGUAAACUUCUUUUAUAUGGGAAUAAAGUGUUCCACGUGUAGGAUUUUGUAUGUACCAUAUGACUAAGGAUCGGCUAACUCCGUGCCAGCAGCCGCGGUAAUACGGAGGAUCCGAGCGUUAUCCGGAUUUAUUGGGUUUAAAGGGAGCGUAGGUGGGUUGUUAAGUCAGUUGUGAAAGUUUGCGGCUCAACCGUAAAAUUGCAGUUGAAACUGGCAGUCUUGAGUACAGUAGAGGUGGGCGGAAGUCGUGGUGUAGCGGUGAAAUGCUUAGAUAUCACGAAGAACUCCGAUUGCGAAGGCAGUUCACUGGACUGCAACUGACACUGAGGCUCGAAAGUGUGGGUAUCAAACAGGAUUAGAUACCCCGGUAGUC